ACCUAAGAGAUUUGGCGGUACUCGCUACUUGUUAGAGAAAUUUGCUUUAAGAAAUCGAUAAUCCCCGAAAAAUCUUACUUUUAUUAGUAUAUUUCAGUUUGUAUACCGUCAUAGAUGUGAUUUUUAAAGAAUGUUAAUCAUUUAUUUAGCUUAGUUAGGUUAGACAUUAGAUCAAGGUGCAGCUAAUAUAAGAGGUUAGAGUGAAUUGCAUUACAGUUUUGUAAAAUAUGGAGAAAAGGUUGAAAGAUUUUUUUGAAAUUGGAUUUAAUAGUAAUAAUAUUUUAAUAAGUUAUUUUGAUUUUAGUUCUGGAGUAUGU
rnacentral:rRNA from 1 species